ensembl:snoRNA
UUUGAGGUCUACUCUGAUGGAGCUUUUCUUGUAGCUGCGCAUCUUUAGGAAUACCUUAGAGAGUAACUGAUUUUGCUUUGCUCACAGCACUAUUUGUUAGAUCUGUGUAAAGGAACUAUAGACAGAG